AUAUCAGACUGCAAAGAGCGCUACAGAGAGUCAACAUUUCACCAGUUGUCAGUGGGAACAGCAUGAUGUAAAUACAAGACGGGCCCUCGUCCUUCGUGCACUUCCUGUGUACCUGCGUGAAGAUGCCUCCACGUUAUUCAGGACUUGUGAUUCAGCAGAUGGUCCAGACCUCACUGACACUCCUGUGGCUCUGCUGACAGUUGUCACGGAUGACACUACUGAUUCGGCCCUCUUCAGUCCCGAAAGCAUCUGCAUUGUCGUUGAGGAUGAAAUACUUGUGAAUGGUCCCACAAAUCUGGCUGAGUCAUUUCUCCUGCUCUUUGGGUACAUCUAUGCAUUAGACCUACAAUACCCAAAGAAACUUGAGCUUACAUUCACAUUUAUCCAAAAGGUUGUGAUGUGCCUUGAG